rnacentral:rRNA from 1 species
CCUACGGGAGGCAGCAGUGGGGAAUCUUCCGCAAUGGGCGAAAGCCUGACGGAGCAACGCCGCGUGAUCGAAUGAAGGCCUUCGGGUUGUAAAGAUCUGUUGACAGGGACGAAUAAGCAAUGCAAAUAGUUUUGUGUAUGACGGUACCUGUUUAGAAAGCUCCGGCUAACUACCUGCCAGCGGCCUCGGUAAUACGUAGGGAGCAAGCGUUGUCCGGAAUUACUUGGCGUAAAGGGCGCGUAGGUGGGCGAGUAAGUGAUGUGUGAAAACUCCGGGCUCCACCUGGAGACUGCACUUGAAACUGGGUGGCUUGAGGGCGGGAGAGGUAAGUGGAAUGCGUGGUGUAGCGGUGAAAUGCGUAGAUAUUAGGAGGAACACCAGUGGCGAAGGCGACUUUCUGGACUGUACCUGACGCUGAGGCGCGAAAGCGUGGGGAGCAAACAGGAUUAGAUACCCCAGUAGUC